AGAAACACAUUAACCAUAAUUCCAAGGUGACCACGUUUGAACCAGUGGAUACAGAUUUCGAUUUAUUACAGUCACCACUAGAGGCUCAGGAGUUACCCAGCUUGUAUCAGCAGGGCCUGCUGAGAAAGGGACCCUGCUGUGCCAAAGACUGUGCAGAUAGAGAGACAGAGGAUUUCUGUUCCCAAGAGCUUAUAAUUAGCUACAUCACACAUACAUUGAGCAGAACACCAAUCCUCUCAGCCACAGGCAUCAGAGAACUCCAAAAAAAUGGUGUGGAGUGUGUCUAUCAGAGUCCAAAGUCUUUGGCUUACCUGGAGUAAACGAGUGCCCACAACAGGGUGGUUAUUGCCCAAAGCAAUACUUCCCAAACCAGUGCAGAUUGUGGGAGCACCCAGUUGUUGCUGCCUGCUCAGUGUUGGGAUCUCUGCUCCAGGAGUAUCCUGGAAAAGGUCUGUCCUUGUCUUGCUCUGUGGCCUCAGGCAGGUUGGUUGUACAUCUCUCCAUACAAAUCCUGCAAGAGUGCAGGGUGUAAUGGCCCUGAUUUUACUCAACUGCUGUAGCAACAUGCUUUCCAACAACACAGGGAGGAGAAGUAACAGCAUUGUUGUUACAAGUUCCCCUGAAACCACCUUUUAUUCCCAUCCUGCAGAAGGACCCCUCUCCCUUAGGUCCCUCCUUUCAGAGCUCAGGUACCUGCCAAGCAGUGGAGUCGCACAGAAUAAAACUGAUUCCUGUGGCUUGAGGUGCAUCAAAAAACCACUUUGCACUCAAAAGCAGCCACAAAUCUGGCAGGAGUGUGAGGCCACCACCAAAACUGGGUGUUACACGAUAUCUUAUUCCACUUGGGAAGAGCUGGGUGUUUCUAUGGCUACUGCUGCCUUUCUCUCCAACACACCAACCAUUGGCUCUGAUGAGAUCAUACUGUGUUAUAGAAA